AUCCGAUGUCUCUUAUAAAUUCGAAAACUAAAACGAUAACCAACUAUAUAAAUUCGCAGCAUAGAUAACAUCACUUCAGAAAAGCAGUUACAUCAGAUUGCGAUGGCAGAUGGUGACAUUUCUUCAGAAAAGCGUUAUCUAACAUCAGAUUGCGAUGGCAGAAUUCAACUGAAUGCUAAACGCGCUAUUGAAUAUGAAUAUCUUACACGGGAUUUUGUUAGGUUACUAAAGGAAGGAGAGACGAAAUUCAAAUAUUCUAUGGCGAAUACCAACUUCGCACUGUCUCUUUCUCUACUUCUCACCAUAAACA
rnacentral:lncRNA from 1 species